UACGAAGGGGGCUAGCGUUGCUCGGAAUCACUGGGCGUAAAGGGUGCGUAGGCGGGUCUUUAAGUCAGGGGUGAAAUCCUGGAGCUCAACUCCAGAACUGCCUUUGAUACUGAAGAUCUUGAGUUCGGGAGAGGUGAGUGGAACUGCGAGUGUAGAGGUGAAAAUUCGUAGAUAUUCGCAAGAACACCAGUGGCGAAGGGCGGCUCACUGGCCCGAUACUGACGCUGAGGCACGAAAGCGUGGGGAGCAAACAGG
rnacentral:rRNA from 1 species